CCUCCAGAGUGGAUCCUGAGUACGGCGGAACACGUGAAAUUCCGUCGGAAUCCGGGAGGACCAUCUCCCAAGGCUAAAUACUCCCUAGUGACCGAUAGUGAACCAGUACCGUGAGGGAAAGGUGAAAAGCACCCCGGAAGGGGAGUGAAACAGUUCCUGAAACCGUGUGCCUACAAGUAGUUAGAGCCCGUUAAUGGGUGAUAGCGUGCCUUUUGUAGAAUGAACCGGCGAGUUACGAUUUGUUGCAAGGUUAAGCGGAAAAAGCGGAGCCGUAGCGAAAGCGAGUCUGAAUAGGGCGCAUAAGUAACAGGUCGUAGACCCGAAACCAGGUGAUCUACCCAUGUCCAGGAUGAAGGUAAGGUAAUACUUACUGGAGGUCCGAACCCACGCACGUUGAAAAGUGCGGGGAUGAGGUGUGGGUAGCGGAGAAAUUCCAAUCGAACUUGGAGAUAGCUGGUUCUCUCCGAAAUAGCUUUAGGGCUAGCCUCGAGGUAAAGAGUCAUGGAGGUAGAGCACUGUUUGGACUAGGGGCCCUUCUCGGGUUACCGAAUUCAGAUAAACUCCGAAUGCCAUGUACUUAUACUCGGGAGUCAGACUGCGAGUGAUAAGAUCCGUAGUCGAAAGGGAAACAGCCCAGACCACCAGUUAAGGUCCCCAAAUAUAUGUUAAGUGGAAAAGGAUGUGGGGUUGCUUAGACAACCAGGAUGUUGGCUUAGAAGCAGCCACCAUUGAAAGAGUGCGUAAUAGCUCACUGGUCGAGUGACCCCGCGCCGAAAAUGUACCGGGGCUAAACAUAUUACCGAAACUGUGGAUGAACCUCUUUAGAGGUUCGUGGUAGGAGAGCGUUCUAAGGGCGGUGAAGUCAGACCGGAAGGACUGGUGGAGCGCUUAGAAGUGAGAAUGCCGGUAUGAGUAGCGAAAGAAGGGUGAGAAUCCCUUCCACCGAAUAUCUAAGGUUUCCUGAGGAAGGCUCGUCCGCUCAGGGUUAGUCGGGACCUAAGCCGAGGCCGAUAGGCGUAGGCGAUGGACAACAGGUAGAGAUUCCUGUACCAGUGCUAAUUGUUUAACCGAUGGGGUGACACAGAAGGAUAGGGAAUCGCACGAAUGGAAAUGUGCGUCCAAGCAGUGAGUGUGAGAAGUAGGCAAAUCCGCUUCUCGCGAAGCAUGAGCUGUGAUGGGGAAGGAAAUUAAGUACGGAAGUUCCUGAUUUCACGCUGUCAAGAAAAGCCUCUAGGAAGAGUAGUACUGCCCGUACCGCAAACCGACACAGGUAGAUGAGGAGAGAAUCCUAAGGUGAGCGAGAGAACUCUCGUUAAGGAACUCGGCAAAAUGACCCCGUAACUUCGGGAGAAGGGGUGCUCUAUUAGGGUGCAAGCCCGAGAGAGCCGCAGUGAAUAGGCCCAGGCGACUGUUUAGCAAAAACACAGGUCUCUGCAAAACCGUAAGGUGACGUAUAGGGGCUGACGCCUGCCCGGUGCUGGAAGGUUAAGAGGAGUGCUUAGCUUCGGCGAAGGUACGAAUUGAAGCCCCAGUAAACGGCGGCCGUAACUAUAACGGUCCUAAGGUAGCGAAAUUCCUUGUCGGGUAAGUUCCGACCCGCACGAAAGGCGCAACGAUCUGGGCACUGUCUCAACGAGAGACUCGGUGAAAUUAUAGUACCUGUGAAGAUGCAGGUUACCCGCGACAGGACGGAAAGACCCCGUGGAGCUUUACUGCAACCUGAUAUGGAAUGUUUGUACCGCUUGUACAGGAUAGGUAGGAGCCGAAGAGACGUGUGCGCUAGCAUACGAGGAGGCAAUGGUGGGAUACUACCCUGGCUGUAUGACCAUUCUAACCCGCCACGCUUAGCGCGUGGGGAGACAGUGUCAGGUGGGCAGUUUGACUGGGGCGGUCGCCUCCUAAAGAGUAACGGAGGCGCCCAAAGGUUCCCUCAGAAUGGAUGGAAAUCAUUCGCAGAGUGUAAAGGCACAAGGGAGCUUGACUGCGAGACUGACAAGUCGAGCAGGGACGAAAGUCGGGCUUAGUGAUCCGGUGGUUCCGCAUGGAAGGGCCAUCGCUCAACGGAUAAAAGCUACCCCGGGGAUAACAGGCUUAUCUCCCCCAAGAGUCCACAUCGACGGGGAGGUUUGGCACCUCGAUGUCGGCUCGUCGCAUCCUGGGGCUGUAGUCGGUCCCAAGGGUUGGGCUGUUCGCCCAUUAAAGCGGCACGCGAGCUGGGUUCAGAACGUCGUGAGACAGUUCGGUCCCUAUCCGUCGCGGGCGCAGGAAAUUUGAGAGGAGCUGUCCUUAGUACGAGAGGACCGGGAUGGACACACCGCUGGUGUACCAGUUGUUCCGCCAGGAGCAUCGCUGGGUAGCUAUGUGUGGCAGGGAUAAACGCUGAAAGCAUCUAAGCGUGAAGCCCCCCUCAAGAUGAGAUUUCCCAUUUCUUCGGAAAGUAAGAUCCCUGAAAGAUGAUCAGGUAGAUAGGUUUGGAGUGGAAGUGUAGCGAUACAUGGAGCGGACAAAUACUAAUCGAUCGAGGACUUAACCAA
rnacentral:rRNA from 1 species